CACAAAUAUUUGAGUUUUAACUCCAUCUCUGAUUUUAUUUUUUUUUCUAGGAGAAAACACAGAAACCUGCCAAGUUCACCCUGUGGUGACUUUGUAGAGGAGGAUGAGCCCUGCCCACCUUUGCUCUUCACAGCAGUGGUUCAGUCAAGCAGUUGGAGCCCUGACAACCCAGUGCUCCUAGCAAGUUCUGCCACUGCAAAGCAGCCCAGAGAGACUGAUUCCUGAGUCCAACGAUCCUGCACUGACAGCACCACUGAUAAACCCCGGGAAGAGGCAGGAUGAGCCGUUGGAAGCGCUCCCUCCCCGGCCACUGAAGGGCUGCCUCCCAGAAGAUGGAGCUAUUUCCCUGAUACAGCUGAUGGAGACCUUGUAAGUUCAG
rnacentral:lncRNA from 1 species